CUCAGCACUGCUAGGUGUCCUAUUUUUGCUUAAGCUUCUAAAAAAGUUUUAGGUUCAAAAAAUAUAACCUGCUUUCCUAAAGCCAUUUAGCUAAAGAUCGCUCUCUUAAGAAAUACUCUUAUAGAAACAUCAAUCUAUUUCCCUUUAUAACUAUUGAAAAUUUUGAAAAAAAUAUUAACCCCCUUUUAAAAAAAAACAUUGAAUAUGGCAGCAUGUUAGUCUUUUGAUAACAGACAUUACUGAACUAUAGAUUGACUAUCAUACAAAGCACAGGAGAUUUCUUUUGUACUGAGUUACUUCUAGAAUGAUUAUACGUGUCUGAAAAUAAUUAACCAGAUAUUAAAAAUUCAUCUGGAAGACUUGCCCUGUUGGAAUUAUUGACGUUAUCAGAUACCAUGUUGACCUGUGCAGGCAUGCGAUCACCGGUCACACACCAGCGCCUGCCAGAAAUGAGACCAAAAGGGUCAAAACCCUGUACUUGAGAGUCUCAGCAAGCUCUCAUCUUCUCAGCAACUCUGUUGGGGGAGAGUGUACACAGGGCAGCUCUCAUUUAACCCACUUCAUGAAGGGGGAGAGCCUGAGGUUCAGAGACUUGAAGUACAGCCAACUACCGACCACGUCCUCCUAAGGAUCAACAGAGAGAUGAAAAAGAAGUUCCUGGCAUUGCCUGCCUGGCCUCAGUCCCAGAGGAUAUUGAUAUCAAACGACAAUGGUCUGGUGCCUUAGGGACUGGAAAAUAGAAGGAAGCCUGCUGUUUGUUUACAUUAUUUAGUAGCUUGGCGUGGUUGAAGGAACCCAGGUUUAGACUUUCAGAUUCUUUUUUGUGUCCUGGCUUCAGUGACCCUUGGUAAGUUCUUGACCUCUCUGAGCUUUAAGGGAGUCCAUAAAAUAAGGAAAAUGUAUCUACUCCAUAGGAUUUUUGAAGACUAAUUAAUUUUUGAGAUCAUGCUAUACCAAAGCUCAGUACUAGUUAGGGCUCUUAGUAGGCCUUCAAUAAACGGAGUGUUUUGAAGUCAAUAUUAAUACGAUGAUGAUGAUAAUGGUUAUAGGAGAAAGGAGUAAAAGGCAUGAGGUAUAUACAUUCACCCAGCAUGGUAUUUGGUAUAUAGUAGGUGCUUAAUAUUGGCUUGCAUCUGUCUAUCCUCCCCUCUCAUAGGACCCCUUGUCUUUUCUCUGGAGUCUCCAUUGCCACAGCAGUCGACGUCUGCACAUCCCAUCCCUGGCUCACAGUCCUACAACCAAGUGUGAAUUUGCAUUUCUCCUCAGUUCUCUGGUGCCCCCGACGACCCUUUGGGGAACCCCUUGGAGGUUCCCACUGACUUACCAGUGGCACUUGCCUCUCAGUGACUUGCACAUUAGCAGCUACACUUUCUCAUGGGCCCAGGCCCUUGUGAUCUCAGCGGGACACCCCCCCCUCCUGACCAUUUCCCUGGCCCAUCUCAGGACGGUUGAGACAGAACCCACUCUGUUGUAGAUUCUCUGCCAGAGCUCUGUUCCACCACCCAACAGUUCAGCCUGUCACGAGGCUUUGAGAGUAAAGCCCAUUUUCCGUACAAAAGCAAGGACUGGUUUUAAGCACCACUCUUCGUUUUGUGUAUGGCUUCAUGUUUUUCAAAGUCCCUUCCCAUCGUUCAUCCCCUUUGUAAGCAGAUUUAUUGGUCUGCAGUUGCUAAAUGCGUACUUAGUCCUGGAGUACACAGUGUUGUGUUAAAAGAUCUGGUCUUCAAAAAAGGGAGCUUGCCAAUUCACUCACCAGCUUCGGAUUGAGGAGUUAAUUGAAGUCAGCUGGAACGCUGAAUGCUCCACAGCCUUUUCCCGUCUUGUUUUCACAGGCAACCGGAGAGCUUAGCACAAGAAGCUCUCAGAGCCCUGGACCUGGAGCCCUCAGAGGAGAAGCUUUCCUCUCUGUAGUCUUUCAUUUGGCAAAUAUUUAUUGAGCAACUAUUACAUGCCAGGCAUUGUUAUAGGUGCCAAAGGAAAAAGGGGGAACAGACAGAAAUUCUUGCCCUCACGGAGGGCAUCCUAGAGUGGGGGAGCAGGUGGAAAAGAGACAAAAUGAAUACGUGAAAUGCAUGUGUUGAGUAGUAGCAAGUAUUAAGGGAAAAGUGAAGGCUGUAAAUUGUGGGGAUUGGCAUUGUGGGCACUUGGGGAUGGCCUUGGCGUCGGUGAGAGGGUUGAGCUGUCCCCAGCACUCUGCUGGGCAUUGUAGAAACACAGAUGAAUGAACAAGGCACAACCACUGCUCUCAUGGGAAUGUGGCAGGCGCUGUGGACUCCCACCCAGAUGUACCCAGGGGAGCCUGAAGAGAGGUGGCAUGAGUCACACCCGGUAGUGCCCCCUGUGGGUGCUCUUCCUCCGUGCCUUCCCCUGCACUAGAAUGACAAAUACCAGAGCCACCUUGGAAUGCAGGCAGGUGUUGCAGUUGCCAGAGCCAAGGUCAGCCUGAGUCCUUGAGUGACCACAUGGAGGCGAGCUGCCCGCUGACCUGGAAUCCCCACUCAGGACUGGUGAGUGAGAAAGAGAGAAGGGGAGACAGAGUAUCCAAAGUGGGCUCCGUGCUGGCAGUGGAGGCCCCGAUGUGGGGCUCAAACUCACGAACCGUGAGGUCUCCACCUGAGCCGGAGUCUGACGCUGAACCGACAGAGCUACCCAGGUGCCCCGGAAGAAAGAAACUUCCAUCUUGCAAGUGCCCUUCUAUUUUGGGUCUAUCUUGUUUUGCUAUAGCAGUUUAACGCUCAUUUAUGGAGUACUGAGGUAGCGUUUCUUAAAAACUAAGUAACAUUCUUCUAUUCAUUUAUGCCACUGAUUGCUAUGUGGGUUUUUUUGUUUGUUUGUUUUGUUUUUUAAGCAGGCUUCACGCCCAGCAGGGAGCCCCACACGGGGCUUACAACCUAGGAUGAAGAACUGAGCUGAGAUCAAGAGUUGGAUGCUCAACUGACUGAGCCACCCAGGCGCCCCAGCUGGGUUUUAACCACGUGGGAAAAAGCUCCGGGAGCAGAGAAGAGGAAUGUUUCAUUCUUUCAACAGAGGGUGGGCCAAGUUGGGAAAGGUAGGACCAAGGAGAAGAUACUGGAGCUGAAGGGGAAUGGACAAGGAUCAAGGAUUCACUCUGGGGAAGAAAAGGACAAAGGACAACAGGAGUUGAAGCCACAACUUGAAUAAAAGCCCAGGGGCAUGAAAGCGCCUAUUUUGUGGUGUGUGUGUGUGUGUGUGUGUGUGUGUGUGUAUGCUAAGUCCCUAUAAUCAUGAAGAAACGAAAGCAAAUGGCAUAGUCCUAAA